GUGUCAGCAGCCGCGGUAAUACGGGGGGGGCAAGCGUUGUUCGGAAUUACUGGGCGUAAAGGGCUCGUAGGCGGCCAACUAAGUCAGACGUGAAAUCCCUCGGCUUAACCGGGGAACUGCGUCUGAUACUGGAUGGCUAGAGGUUGGGAGAGGGAUGCGGAAUUCCAGGUGUAGCGGUGAAAUGCGUAGAUAUCUGGAGGAACACCGGUGGCGAAGGCGGCAUCCUGGACCAAUUCUGACGCUGAGGAGCGAAAGCCAGGGGAGCAAACGGGAUUAGAAACCCCUGUAGUCC
rnacentral:rRNA from 1 species